rnacentral:rRNA from 1 species
UGGGGAAUUGUUCGCAAUGGGCGCAAGCCUGACGACGCAACGCCGCGUGGAGGACGAAGAUCUUCGGGUCGUAAACUCCUGUCGAACGGGACGAAACCCGCGUGGGUGAACAAUCCAUGCGGUUGACGGUACCGGGUGAGGAAGCCCCGGCUAACUCUGUGCCAGCAGCCGCGGUAAUACAGAGGGGGCGAGCGUUGUUCGGAAUUACUGGGCGUAAAGGGCGCGUAGGCGGCCUGCUAAGUCGAACGUGAAAUCCCCGGGCUCAACCCGGGAACUGCGUCCGAUACUGGCGGGCUUGAAUCCGGGAGAGGGAUGCGGAAUUCCAGGUGUAGCGGUGAAAUGCGUAGAUAUCUGGAGGAACACCGGUGGCGAAGGCGGCAUCCUGGACCGGCAUUGACGCUGAGGCGCGAAAGCCAGGGGAGCAA